UUGACGUCUGACAAGAGAAGAUCAUAUUUGUCUGGACAUGUAAAAAGACAACAGAAGAGAGGAGGCAAGAAGAUAAAGCAGGUCCAUCAGCCUCCACCUCUACCUCCAUCAUUGGUUUCAUCCAAGAAGCUGACAGUGCUGGUCUACCUCGGCCUACUGAAGUGGAGAGCAGUACCAUCGUGCUUACUACCACACCUGGCUCUCUAAUUUCUACUCCUCCAGAGGAUCCAGCUGACUGGCCAUCAGUCCUUAAUGACCAGUUACUUACCAGGACUUUUCCAAAAAGACACUCAGACAGUAAAAGUAUUUUCUGGUUGAGAAAA